AGGUGAAAAAAGAUUUGGAAAACAUGAAAAACGAGGGCAAAAAUACAGAGCUAGAGGAUAUCCAUCUCACAGUGCAGGAUGCUGCACAAGUUUUGAUUGGUCUAAACACAAGCGUAAAUGAGAGGUUUCUACAUUUUCAACAAAGCAUCAUGCAACUGGAUCAAAAGGU